ACUGAAAAAAACCAACAUAGCAAAAUCAAAUGCUUUUUCACGUGAGCUACUCCAAAAACCAACACGUUAAAGUCACGUGUUUUUCUUUUGACUAUGAUGUGUUUUUCUUCGCGAAUGGAUGAGAGAACUCUUUCGAUUUCAACCAUUUAUAAGUCAUUAUACUAUCAUAUGUUGCUCACCAUGAAUUCACAUGAAUUUCUCAUCGAUUUGCCCCAUUCGUCUUUUCCCUUGAUUUUGAAGUGGAAAUCACGUUAAAACUAAAUGUUUUGAAUUUGAAAGUGGAGUGUUGUAAAGUUGCUCCAAAUUGAUUAGGCAAGAUGGCGAAAAGUAAAAAGUCGUGAUUGGAGCUCUAUGUUUUAAAAUAAGUUUAGUUUGUCUUUUUUACAAAAAAUCCUAGUUUUGAUCAUUAAGUACUUGUUCCGGGGCCACAUUUUGAAAAUGUUCCUGCGGACCGGGUUGGGAUGCGGGUUUGUGGUGUUCGUGGCCUUUGAAAGUCCCAAACUGUGCAACAAAGAAAUUUCGCGGAAAAUACGUCGGGCGGUGGCCAGUGGCAGGAGAACGGCAAAGAACGCCGAACCACCGCAUUCCAAACGGCGGCGUAUCGUCCACGGACCGUUCGUCAUGAAGGACAACAAAUGGUUUCAACCGUCACGUGAUCCGGUAAAUUUCCCAUCCUAACCCGCAAAUAUUUCACAUCCUCUUACCACUUUUUUCUCCUCCACACACAGAUUCAUUGUCAAAA